rnacentral:lncRNA from 1 species
GUGGGAGGGGAACCAAGGGGUCCUGCGGCAGGGAAGGGUGGUUGGGCAGAGGGAAUGUUGAGAAUGAAGUGGAGACAGCUAGUGGAACACUUCCAUUUUAGUUCCAUUCAAUCCGGGUGGAAUCUAUGAUGACAACACAAGAUAUCAGGUCUGUUAGCAACUGCAGGGCGGGUGGCGGCCCUGAGAACGAGAAAAGGUGUAUCAGAGCGCUUCUUACCGUGCAAGUCCUCGUUAGUAUAGUGGAAACGAAUUAUGACGUAUUCUCUGGCCACAGAAGGAUUAGGACUGGGACGUCUAAUUCACCUCCUCCUGUAAAAGGCAAGGAAGGGAGAGAUGAAAAAUGCCUGAUCUUUAAGGCAGGACCUCGGAAGUGGAACUGGAGAAACUGGAAGAGGACAGGUCUUUCGGAUCUUGAGCAAGGCGAAUGCAUGGUCAGGCUGCCGUUACAAAGAGAGGGAAAACAAAUUUUAAAAACCUGCUUGAAGAUGGGACACAUCAAAGACGUUUAAGCAAAGAAGUUAUGGUGCUGUUACUAAGACAGCACUAGUGCUAUUCAGAGAAUGAAAAUGAGUUCCUAACCAGAGGCAGGGGAGUUGGAAACUACGAAAAUAUCCAGCCAGAAGAUGCUGGGCUUCUGACAUAACUAUUAAAAGAGAUAGAGAGGAAGGAAGGCAUUCUUAGGAGAGUAAGUGGAUGGAUUCACAGAUUGAAAGGCGCCUAAGUCACUCUGAUUUUUUGCUUAAGUAGCUAUGUAAUCAUCAGCCAGAUGUCUAUGGAAAGGACAUUUAAGGGGAAGAUGUUAAGUAUCGUGUUUAACAUACGGAGUUUGAGAAUGGAAGCAGCGCUGAGUCGCUUGUAAAGCUCUGGGGACGUGUCAGGAAGGUGGGAGAUGAGAAUGGCGCACAACGUGGUGGAUGAAAUGAUGAUUCUGAUGAAUUCAAGUGUGUAAUGAGAAGACCAGGAAGCAAGCUGGGAACUGGCAGAAGAGCAGAAUUGAACGUUUAAAAGGGAAGAGACAGGAAGAGAAACCUAGGAAAUUAACUAACUAGAAAGACUCAACCAACAAUGCCAAAUUUAGUGGAGCACUGAAGUAAGGAGUGAAAAUUCUCCUUUGGAUUUGGCUGUGGGGUGGAGAUAAGGAAGACCUGGUUUGUGAACUUCCAUCUAGAGAGGAGAGGACCGAGCAGGUAAAAGAGGAGAAAGAGAACAAGAACCACCCUGCCAAGAUGUGGACCAGCAUGAGAAGCGAACAGAACACGGGUAGCCAGAGAGGAAGGCAGCACUGAGGAAGUAGUUUCUAAAUUGGGGGGAGGGGGCAAGGGGUGGAGGUGAAAUAAAUUGUAAUAUAUUUAAACAGGUAAAUGAGUUUCUAGAGAAAAAUGUGAGAUUUAAGAAGUGCUGGGGAAAGUGGUGGCACACACCU